rnacentral:rRNA from 1 species
GUAUGUGGUCAUACCACCCUGAACAUCCCCAGUCUCAUCUGAUCUCAACAGCAAAGCAGGGUUGGGCCUGGUUAGUGCUUGGACGGGAGAAAAAAAAUAAGGUAGGUCUAAACC